rnacentral:lncRNA from 1 species
GGAGGGGGCAGGGUGCAAGCGUGGGGAUCAGACCCCCACGGAGACGUGGGCUGGGAGUUCCAGAACCAUCCGGAACUUUGUCAUGCUACCCUCUGCCAUGUCCUGCUUAAGUGUGAAGGAUCAUUUGGGAAAUAAAUAGAUAAAUACACGAGAAAAGCUUUAUUAUGUUCAAUCGGAUUCAUGGAGUCUGAGAACAAGCUGCCUGAGGGAAAAAUCCAGAAACGCGAGCUCUAGCCCAUUCAUGGUGCUCAGUUUGGGGGCUGGAGGUGUUGAAGGGGGCAAUGCCCUGGAAUCCUGCUCAGCUCCUGGGACAGCGACUGCUUGGCUGAAGCAUCAAUUAUGGAUACAUGAUAUGUUUUAAAAUCUCGGACAAAGGCAGCAAAGCCAUCCAUCUGCCUUUCGGGACCAGGCUCCCCAGUUGGUGACAGCGAGGCUGCGAGGCUUCCUCUGUUUACCUCUUGCCACGAUGGCCACGUGGACUUGUCUGAGGUCGCAGGGCUGAGAGUCCGGGCACAGCCAGAACUCCCGACCAGCAGGUGUGCACGAGGUCAGGGUGGGCGUCAGGCACCCCAGGGUUCCUGCCAGAGAAAGGGCGCCCUUCCCCACUUGGGAGAAGAAGCUGGAGAGGUUGGACCUAUUGUGAGAGGUUAUUGCUGCUUCUUGAGGGGCUUUCAUGGGGAAUUUAGAAUACAUUCACUUUUGUUUUGUUUUGUUUUUCUAGGGCCGUAGCCACAAUGUAUAGAAGUACCCAGGCUAGGAGCUGCAGCCACUGGCCUACGCCACAGCCACAGCAUCGUCAGAUCCAAGCUGCUUCUGCGACCUACACCAUAGCUCAUGGCAACACCAGAUCAUUCACCCACUGAACAAGGCCAGGGAUCCAACCUGUGUCCUCAUGGAUCCCCGUCAGGUUCGUUACCACUGAGCCACAACGGGAACUCUUAGACGGUAUUUACUUUAGACUGUGUUCAGAACCGAACCCCCAUCUCUCGCCGUCACUCCCACACUUUUUGCACCACCAUCAAACACACCUCUCACCAUCCUCCCCAACACAUACACACACACACACACACACACAUACA